rnacentral:rRNA from 1 species
GAAAGUUGGACAUGGUUCUUCAGGCAGUUGAAAAUAUCAGUUGUCAAGGAGAAGCCGGAUGUGUGCAUCCUUCAUGACAGGCAUGCAGGUAUACUCAGUGCGAUAAGGACACUGACAAACCCAGGCCCUGAGGAACAAGUUCCAUGGCAGGACUUGCAGAGCCGUUGGUGCAUGCGCCAUCUCGGGGCUAAUUUCUUCUCGCAGUUUAGAAAUAAGAACUUGAUGAAUCUGUUCAAAAAACUCUGCAAGCAGAACCAGUUAUGGAAGUACAAUUUGAUACGUGACAGACUUAAUGUGUGCACGCAGAGACACGUGAGGGACAGGAAAGCUGCAAGAGAUGCAGCGGUGAGGGCACAUGUUGAAGCAGUAGCUGCACAGUUGGCAACAGGAACAGCGGCCGUGGAGGAGGAGGCUGUUGGGCUAUGUGACCUGCCAGGCUUUGACCCACCUGGUACUAGGAGAAGGCUCGGGAGGUCGAUU